GUGGUAGUGGCUCAGUGCCCAGGGCAACACGGGCGACGGUGCGUGUGUGUGUGUGGGGGCUUCUCCCCCGAGUGUGAACUGUGCCACGGACCAGCCACCCAGCCCUGUCACGUGCUCCUUGACCUCAGGGCUCCUGCUCCUUAGAUGAAGCCUAAAAGAACUGUGCUAAUAUGACAUUAAGGUAGAUAGAAUUUAAAUACUGAGACCUAAGUUCUAUAUAAUGAACAGCGAGUGAGCAAUAUUUGCUGAUUUUUAAAUAAAGUAGUUGAGGCGUGGAAGGCUACGGCGAGCACACCCUUGGUCAAGACUAGGGGAGUGCAAGCAAGGAGCAGUGGGUGAUGGUGGAGGCGGCCGUGUGGCUGUGGUGGGGCGUGGGCAGACCGCCACGUUACCCAUGACGGAGACGCCCAUGCCUGUCAGCGGCCAGAGGACGCCCCUGCCCGUCCACCACUCUCAGCCUGUCCCCCGCCGCCAUGCUGAAGCAGCACGGGGGGACAGACGCCGCGAUGUGCGUCCCAGACGACCGUCCUCGCAAGAAACUUUCCUUCCGUGAACCCGAAGUGGUGACUUCCUCCAGGAAUGGUGGACACGCUGCUACACUUCCUCGCAGACACCAGGGUGUGGCCUUACACUCGGUUCUACUCAAUCAUACGCAGCAGCACCAACAUUCACCAAGACAGCAAUUUGGCCGCCCUCACAGCAUAGCUGGCAUCGUGGGCUUGGGUGGCUUCAGUGCCCUAGGUGGAGUCCCAGGUUUAGCUAACGUGACCGGCACUCAUUGUGUUACGUCGUCUGGAACUGUGUCUGGUGUAACUGCGAUGGUGGGCAACCCAGGUCUCCUUGGUCCCACCUCUGCACCGGGGAUUUUGGCUGGGCCCGCAACACCCAUAUUAACCCCACCCACAAGCCCCACCCACACAGCCUGUAGCCAGCUCGCCACACCCCCGGUACGGGCGUGGCCCAGCAGCCAACCGUCAGCACUCACCAGUAAGACAGAGCCCACUCAGCCCUGCACACCCUCAGGAAAGACUGGUUCAUCUCAUGCUCCAUCACUCAAGAUGUCCGCCAGCCAGCAAACUCCCCCGCCCUCCGCAAAGUAUGUUACCAGUCCAUUGGCUUCCUCCCCUGCAAGAUCAUCAUUCACACAACCGCCCACACAUCAUAAUAGAAGCGGGUCAUCUCAGCCACCCUCACCUUCAGGGAAGUCCCUUCCUCCAAGUGGCAGUAAGGGAACGAGUCACGCAAAGCCUACCAAACCUGCUUCUCGAAACAGUUCGUUGAAAAAACAAAGGUCAUCACCAAUACAGCAAGCAGUGACCUUCCUGACGGAGAGAGGAGUGGUGAACGGUCGCCCACGCAGUUAUCACAAUGACACAGCCUCUGCAGUUAGCCUUGAAGACAUCGACCUGGAGAGUCAGGCAAUGAGGAUAGUUAGGACAGUGGGUCAGGCGUUCGAGGUGUGUCACAAGAUCUCAGUGAAGGACACUCCACCGUCCCCAGAACCCGCCGAAGACGAAGCCAGUGAACAUGGCUCAGACGCCUCCACAGAAAAACUCAAGAAAGAUCUCUUGGACACCGAGAGCACUCAGGAAGACCUAGUUACCCUUACUCCUUCAGACUCGAUCAAUGAAGAAUCUGUUGAGCACUUACUACAACGGCCCAACAAACUUGAGCCACUUGCCCCUCCAGUUGGUUCAGACAUUCUUUCUAAGGGUGGUGGUGAGACUUACACCUCUCCACUUAGUGAACCCUUGCCCUCGGGAGACUCGUUACCCAUGGCGGGCACACCGCUCUCGGUACAUCAUGAAUUACAACUAUUACGAGAACAGCUUGAACAGCAGCAGCAACAGACUCAAGCAGCAGUCUCUCAAGUUCACCUUUUGCGAGACCAAUUGGCAGCAGAGACGGCAGCACGACUUGAAGCUCAGGCUCGUACCCAUCAACUCUUAGUUCAUAAUAAGGAGCUACUAGAACAUAUUCAAGCCUUGGUUCUCCAAGUUCGUGAUAUGGAGUUGAAGCUGGCAGGUAGUGGCGGCAUCACGGGAACUACACAUCUACUCCCUACACCGCCUGAGAUAAAGUCACAGAUAUAAACGCCGCGGAGUUCGUGGGUGUGAUCCACGAGGCUGUUGAGGGGGUCGUGAGUUUCUGAAGGAUCAGCGCUGCCGAUCUUGUGAGUGGCUAAGGAGUCAUUUUGACCCAUCUAGAAAGAUCGCAGAUGGGCAAAACAGUGAUUAAGUUAAAGAAUGGGGCGAGUGGCGGUGACUCAGCCAAUCGGAGCGAGGGUUGA
rnacentral:misc_RNA from 1 species